CCUACGGGUGGCAGCAGUGAGGAAUAUUGGUCAAUGGGCGCGAGCCUGAACCAGCCAAGUCGCGUGAGGGAAGACGGUCCUAUGGAUUGUAAACCUCUUUUGUCGGGGAGCAAAAGACGCCACGCGUGGCGUUCCGAGAGUACCCGACGAAAAAGCAUCGGCUAACUCCGUGCCAGCAGCCGCGGUAAUACGGAGGAUGCGAGCGUUAUCCGGAUUUAUUGGGGUUAAAGGGUGCGCAGGGGGAGGAUCAAGUCAGCGGUAAAAUUGAGAGGCUCAACCUCUUCGAGCCGUUGAAACUGGUGUUCUUGAGUGAGCGAGAGGGAUGUGGAAUGCGUGGUGUAGCGGUGAAAUGCAUAGAUAUCACGCAGAACUCCGAUUGCGAAGGCAGCAUACCGGAGCUCAACUGACGCUCAUGCACGAAAGUGUGGGUAUCGAACAGGAUUAGAUACCCUAGUAGUC
rnacentral:rRNA from 1 species